ACAAAGAUUUGCUCCCAGCAAGGUAUCAAUUUUUUGAAGGAGACAUCUACAGUUGACAUGAACUUAAACCCUUGAAAGGCAUGCUUAAGAUUUUCAUUGCAAUGAGUCAUUUCUCCUGGUACAAGAAAUGCAGGCUGCUGCGAGUACAAAGAUGAUCAGAGGUACAACUGAUUGCAUUUGUUACAAAAAUGGCUUCUGAUGACUGGUGGUGAUUGUUGAAGUAUUAGGUGCAGUUACUUCUGUAAGGCAGAGCUUCCCUCAACUUAUGGUGACAGCUAUUAAAGUGUAAAUUACCCGCUGCUCCUGAACUGUUGUUGGCUUUUGUAAGGCAGAGCUUCCCUCAACUUUUGUAAGGGAAGUUUUAUUUAGCUUGCCAAGGACGAAUGGCGUGAUUUCAUCUUUGGCUACCGGGAUCAGAAGUACUAGCGGGGUGCAAAGAUAUACAAGCACGGAAUUGGUGAGCCUGAAUUAUGUCCA